rnacentral:rRNA from 1 species
AUUGAACGCUGGCGGCAGGCCUAACACAUGCAAGUCGAACGAGUGGCGGACGGGUGAGUAAUGUCUGGGACACUGCCUUAUGGAGGGGUAUAACCACUGAAAACGGUAGCUAAUCCCGCAUUCCAUCGGCUGUGCCGAUAUGGGAUUCGCUAGUAGGUGGGGUAAAGGCUCACCUAGGCGACGAUCCCUCGCUGGUCUGAGAGGAUGACCAGCCACACUGGAACUGAGACACGGUCCAGACUCCUACGGGAGGCAGCAGUGGGGAAUCUUGCGCAAUGGGCGCAAGUCUGACGGAGCAAUGCCGCGUGAGUGAAGAAGGCUUUCGGAUCGUAAAGCUCUGUUGGUAGGGAAGCGUUACCCAAACAAGAAGCAACGGCUAACUCCGUGCCAGCCGCCGCGGUAAUUC